UCCUCCACUAUGCUGAGAGAUACUUUCUUCCUUAACCCUGUCUGACUUUGUCAACUGUUUCACAGAGGAUGAGACUCUGGGGGAGAUGAGAAGUCUGCCGGGAUUGGUUAGAAGAGAGCAGCCAGAGAGAUCUGUGUGGCAGCUAGCUGGUGGAUGAACCUGGAUUCAGGAAGGGCUGCAUUCAAAUUUAACCUUAGACAUUAACUAGCCGUGUGACACUGGGAGAAAGAAUUUGAAGAUAGCUAUGACCUCAUGAACUUCAGAAGACCAGAAGAAUAAGCCACCAAGAUGUCCUGGAGUGAAAUCGAUACCUGGUUUUAUGACCAGCCAAGCCCAAAGGUAGCUGAGAUGAGGACUCAUCCAUCUAUCAGCCAUAUUACACUUUGAAAUGCACUUGCUGGAGCAAAAGCUGUGUAGAGACUGCACUAAGUUUGAACACAAUCUCCUUCAAGAUCAAGGUGGUUGGGAAAGGGAGGGAGAGAGAUGGGUGUGCCCCUAGGUACUAGGGAGAAAUGUUUGUAGUAACUAUAAUGAUAAUGAUGAUCAAUAAUAAUUAUAUUAAUAAUAAUAAUAAUUUCUAGAAAACUUUAAGUUUUGCAAAGCCCUUUAAAUGUGUUAUCUCACUUGAACUUCACAAGGAUCUAGGUAGGUAGAUGCUAUUAUUAUAUGCAUUUGACAGAUGAGACAACUAAGACAAGUUAAGUGACUUGCCCAGGGUCACA